rnacentral:rRNA from 1 species
UACGUAGGGUGCGAGCGUUAAUCGGAUUUACUGGGCGUAAAGCGCGUGUAGGCGGCAGGGCAAGUCUGGUGUGAAAGCCCGGGGCUCAACCCCGGAAGUGCAUUGGAAACUGCUCUGCUUGAGUACCGGAGAGGAAGGGGGAAUUCCCGGUGUAGCGGUGAAAUGCGUAGAUAUCGGGAGGAAUACCAGUGACGAAGGCGCCCUUCUGGACGGUUACUGACGCUGAGACGCGAAAGCGUGGGGAGCAAACAGG